rnacentral:rRNA from 1 species
UACAGAGGGUGCGAGCGUUAAUCGGAAUUACUGGGCGUAAAGCGCACGUAGGUGGCGACGUAAGUCGGGUGUGAAAGCCCCGGGCUCAACCUGGGAAUUGCAUUCGAGACUGCAUUGCUGGAGUACGGAAGAGGAAGGCGGAAUUCCCGGUGUAGCGGUGAAAUGCGUAGAUAUCGGGAGGAAUACCGAUGGCGAAGGCAGGUCUCUGGGCUGACACUGACGCUCAUGCACGAAAGCGUGGGGAGCAAACAGG